AUCUGUUUAUUAAUAAUAAUUACUUUUUCAGCCAGUGAAUUUGUAAUUUCGCUGAUUCAAAUGUACGAAGCGAAUUAUCCAGAAAUACUUAAAGCGUGCUACAUAAUUAACGCACCCCGGGUUUUCUCAGUGGCCUUUGCUGUUGUAAAGAGAUUCCUAAACGAUUAUACCCUCGG